rnacentral:rRNA from 1 species
AGAACGAACGCUGGCGGCAUGCCUAAUACAUGCAAGUCGAACGAACUCUUCGGAGUUAGUGGCGCACGGGUGCGUAACGCGUGGGAAUCUGCCCCUUGGUUCGGAAUAACAGUUGGAAACGACUGCUAAUACCGGAUGAUGACGAAAGUCCAAAGAUUUAUCGCCAAGGGAUGAGCCCGCGUAGGAUUAGCUAGUUGGUGAGGUAAAGGCUCACCAAGGCAACGAUCCUUAGCUGGUCUGAGAGGAUGAUCAGCCACACUGGGACUGAGACACGGCCCAGACUCCUACGGGAGGCAGCAGUAGGGAAUAGUUGGACAAUGGGACGAAAGCCUGAU